UACGGAGGAUCCAAGCGUUAUCCGGAUUUACUGGGCGUAAAGGGCGCGUAGGCGGCAUGACAAGUCACUUGUGAAAUCUCUGGGCUUAACCCAGAACGGCCAAGUGAUACUGUCGCGCUAGAGUGCAGAAGGGGCAAUCGGAAUUCUCGGUGUAGCGGUGAAAUGCGUAGAUAUCGAGAGGAACACCAGAGGUGAAGACGGGUUGCUGGGCUGACACUGACGCUGAGGCGCGAAAGCCAGGGGAGCAAACGGG
rnacentral:rRNA from 1 species